GUCCACGCUGUAAACGGUGAGUGCUCGUCGUCGUGGGUAUUGACCCCUGCGGUGACCAAGUUAACACAUGAAGCACUCCGCCUGGGAAGUACUGUCGCAAGACUAAAACUCAAAGAAAUUGACGGGGGCCCCGCACAAGCGGUGGAGCAUGUUGUUUAAUUCGAAGCAACGCGCAGAACCUUACCUGGAUUUGACAUCUCUGGAAUCUUCCUGAAAGGUAAGAGUGCCUUCGGGAGCCAGAAGACAGGUGCUGCAUGGCUGUCGU
rnacentral:rRNA from 1 species